GUAGGGAAUCUUCCGCAAUGGACGAAAGUCUGACGGAGCAACGCCGCGUGAGUGAAGAAGGUUUUCGGAUCGUAAAACUCUGUUGUAAGGGAAGAACAAGUACGUUAGUAACUGAACGUACCUUGACGGUACCUUACCAGAAAGCCACGGCUAACUACGUGCCAGCAGCCGCGGUAAUACGUAGGUGGCAAGCGUUAUCCGGAAUUAUUGGGCGUAAAGCGCGCGUAGGCGGUCUCUUAAGUCUGAUGUGAAAGCCCCCGGCUCAACCGGGGAGGGUCAUUGGAAACUGGGAGACUUGAGUACAGAAGAGGAGAGUGGAAUUCCAUGUGUAGCGGUGAAAUGCGCAGAGAUAUGGAGGAACACCAGUGGCGAAGGCGGCUCUCUGGUCUGUAACUGACGCUGAGGUGCGAAAGCGUGGGGAUCAAACAGGAUUAGAAACCCCAGUAGUCC
rnacentral:rRNA from 1 species